rnacentral:lncRNA from 1 species
GGAUGAGCAAGCUUGAGGCAAUGCACAGCAGAGACACAGCAGAGCACUGGGUGGCCAACCCUCCCAAGAAGCAGCAUGUGGUCAAGAGGAAGUGGUUGGUUAUGAGAAUUACAAAAUUGCAGUACAGCAAAAACACAGUGGCUUCUAAGAACGGCAUGUGGCUUCUUCCCUUCUUCACAAUGCUGACUUUCCACCUGUACUUCAUCCUAACACAAUAUCCAUUUGGCCUGAAAGCCUGGUGUUUUCCUACCCCUUGCUGGAGAAUGGGUCACUGUAAUGCUGGAAGAAGCUAGACGAUCUACUACCAAAAGUGCACAAGAACUUCACAAGACAAUGCCGUAGGCCCCCAGCUGUAGGCCUCGAAGACAAUAAAUACAUCUCAGUGCUACAGAUAAACACAUCCCCCUUUCAAUUUAUAGAUCUUUAUGUAAGC